AGCGAACGCUGGCGGCGUGCUUAACACAUGCAAGUCGAACGUGAAAUGUAGCAAUACAGAGUAAAGUGGCGUACGGGUGAGUAACACGUGGGUAAUCUACCUUAGAGUUCGGAAUAACCUGCCGAAAGGCGGGCUAAUACUGGAUAGAUCAAGUGCAUCGUAGAGGUGCGAUUGGAAAAGGGAGCUUGAAAGAGCCUUCGCUUUAAGAUGAGCCCGCGUCUGAUAGCUAGUUGGUGAGGUAAUGGCUCACCAAGGCUUUGAUCAGUAGCUGGUCUGAGAGGAUGAUCAGCCACACUGGAACUGAAACACGGUCCAGACUCCUACGGGAGGCAGCAGUGGGGAAUCUUGCGCAAUGGACGAAAGUCUGACGCAGCCACGCCGCGUGAGUGAAGAAGGCC
rnacentral:rRNA from 1 species